rnacentral:rRNA from 1 species
CUCCCUCGUUGCUGAUCUCAGGUUCGAUAAUGCCAAUAUCGCACCACCUCGCCUAAAACCAACUUCGAUGAAGCGACGGGCGGUGUGUGCG